rnacentral:rRNA from 1 species
CCUACGGGAGGCAGCAGUGAGGAAUAUUGGUCAAUGGACGCAAGUCUGAACCAGCCAUGCCGCGUGCAGGAAGACGGCUCUAUGAGUUGUAAACUGCUUUUGUACGAGGGUAAACUCAGAUACGCGUAUCUGUCUGCACGUAUCGUACGAAUAAGGAUCGGCUAACUCCGUGCCAGCAGCCGCGGUAAUACGGAGGAUUCAAGCGUUAUCCGGAUUUAUUGGGUUUAAAGGGUGCGUAGGCGGUCGGAUAAGUUAGAGGUGAAAUCCCGAGGCUCAACUUCGGAAUUGCCUCUGAUACUGGUCGGCUAGAGAGUAGUUGCGGUAGGCGGAAUGUAUGGUGUAGCGGUGAAAUGCUUAGAGAUCAUACAGAACACCGAUUGCGAAGGCAGCUUACCAAGCUACUUCUGACGUUGAGGCACGAAAGCGUGGGGAGCAAACAGGAUUAGAUACCCCAGUAGUC